GCCUGGGUGGCUCAGUUGGUUGAGCAACCGACUUCGGCUCAGGUCAUUAUCUCAUUUCUCAUGGGUUCAAGCCCCACAUCAGGCU
rnacentral:tRNA from 1 species